UAUUCUCUAUCUUUGUUUGUCAAACAACAGCCUUAUAGGCCCCCCAAGGUAAAGUCAGCUACAUAGAUCACACAAUGUGAAAAUAACCUAGCUAGAAUGAUUUCAGCAAGAUAAACAAAGCACACAAGAAAAGUAAAAAACAUAGUACCUGAAUGUAAGGAUAGGUAUUUGCAGCUGCAUUGUCACCAAUGAGCAUAGAGUCACACUGCGAGGAGUUUCGGGCAUUCUCGGCCUUGGACAGAACCUGAACCAGCCCUCUAUAACAGUUCCUGGAAUGCCCCACCGAUAUCCCCUUUGAUAUAAUCCUACUCCUUGUGUUCUUCCCUUUGUGUAUCAUCUUCGU
rnacentral:misc_RNA from 1 species